rnacentral:rRNA from 1 species
AACGUAGGAGACAAACGUUAUCCGGAGUUACUGGGCGUAAAGGGCGUGUAGGUGGUAUCGUAAGUCUGGCGUGAAAUUUCUCGGCUUAACCGAGGCAGGUCGUCGGAUACUGCGAGGCUAGAGGACGGUAGAGGCGUGUGGAAUUCCGGGUGUAGUGGUGAAAUGCGUAGAUAUCGGGAGGAACACCAGUGGCGAAGGCGACUUUCUGGCCUGUUCCUGACGCUGAGGCGCGAAAGCUAGGGGAGCAAACGGG